rnacentral:rRNA from 1 species
AACGCGAAGAACCUUACCUGGCCUUGACAUGCUGGUAGUAGGAGCCUGAAAGGGUGACGACUCAUCGUAAGAUGAGAGCCAGCACAGGUGCUGCAUGGUUGUCGUCAGCUCGUGUCGUGAGAUGUUGGCUUAAGUGCCGCAACGAGCGCAACCCUUGUGUUUAGUUGCCUGCGCAAGCGGGAUCUCUAAACAGACUGCCUCGCUUUAAACGAGGAGGAAGGUGGGGAUGACGUCAAAUCAGUAUGGCCCUUACGGCCAGGGCUGCACACGUGCUACAAUGCAUGGUACAGAGGGACGCAAGACCGCGAGGUGGAGCAAAUCCCACAAAACCAUGCCCAGUUCAGAUUGAAGGCUGCAACUCGCCUUCAUGAAGCCGGAAUCGCUAGUAAUGGCGCAUCAGCUACGGCGCCGUGAAUACGUUCCCGGGCCUUGUA